rnacentral:lncRNA from 1 species
GUCCAGGCAACAUCUCCAUGGUUGGCUUGUCUGGCGGAGUAAGCUGUGCCCUCGGCGCGGGUAUCUUCAGGAGACAGAGCUCCUGGCUGCAGCGAGCCGGGACUUGCCGCGCCCCGGGGCUCCCUCAAUCAGACCCAGCCAGGCAAGCGCGGCCACAUAGGCAAGCGCGGCCACAUAGGCUAGACGCACUAUCUUCUCCUCUACCCCGCGCCGCCCUCCACCUCGGAGCGGGGACGUACGGUGGUGGCGGUGACACAAUGCGAGUGAGUGGGUCAUCUGCAGUUUUUUGUUGUUGUUGAUGAUCUUCCUGUCAUAGACAAUGCUGUAACAAACAGACUAAUUGUUCACUGUUGACAUAUAGAAGUACUACUGAUUGGCCAGACAUAGUGGCUCAUGCCUGGAAUCCCAGCACUUUGGGAGGCCAAGGCAGGUGGAUCACUUGAGCCCAGAAGUUUGAGACCAGCCUGGGCAACAUGAUGAAACCCCAUCUCUACAAAAUAAAUAGAAAAAUUAGCUGGGUAUGGUGGCAUGUGCCAGUAGUCCCAGCUACAUGGGAGCCUGAGGUGGGAGGACGACUUGAGCCCAGGAGGUGGAGGUUACAGUGAGCUGAGAUCAUGCCACUGCACUCCAGCCUGGGUGACAGAGUGGGACUCUGUCUAAAAAAAAAAUUGUAUUAUCUGUAAACGGAAAUAUAAAUAAUUUAACUUCUUCUUU